rnacentral:rRNA from 1 species
CUACGGGUUGCAGCAGGUACGAAAACUUUGCUAUUCGCUAACGCGAGACAAGGGAACCUGGAGUGUUUUUGCUCUGCAAGAACUUUUGCUUUCUCUAAAUAGGAAGGUGAAUAAGGGGUGGGUAAGACGGGUGCCAGCCGCCGCGGUAAUACCCGCACCUCGAGUGAUGGCCAGCAUUAUUGGGUCUAAAGCGCCCGUAGCCGGUUUAAAAAGUCCUUGGUGAAAUCUUUUAGCAAACUAAAAGGCGUGCCGAGGAUACUUUUAGACUUGAGACCGGGAGAGGGUAGGGGUACUUUCAGGGUAGGGGUGAAAUCCUGUAAUCCUGAGAGGACCAUCUGUGGCGAAGGCGCCUACCUGGAACGGAUCUGACGGUGAGGGACGAAAGCUAGGGGAGCGAUCGGGAUUAGAUACCCUGGUAGUC